rnacentral:lncRNA from 1 species
AUAUAGAAAAAAAAAAUACAAACUUUUUGAAGGAUAACAUUACUCAAUUAUAAUCAAGUGAAAUUUAGCCACUUAACCAGUCUUGUUAGGAUUUCUUCCAUAUUGAGGAACUAUAAGAAGAUUAAGAUUGUCUUCAUCCAUCUCAACAACAAGAAUACUUGUAAAUGCACGUGGAUAGCCCUCCUUGAUAACAAAUGUCUCCAACCAUUCUGUCUUUCCUGAAAAUUUGAUAAUGGAAAACUUAUUCAUAAAUGACAUAUUAUUAAUGUAAGAAUAGAAAUGGAACUCACAUGGACUUAUUCUAAAUUAAAGUACCUGCAAAAGCAGCUUCCAUGUUCUUCACUAUUUCAGAAAAGAACUCUCCCUGUGUGUGUAGUUAGAA